rnacentral:rRNA from 1 species
AACUCAAAAGAAUUGACGGGGGCCCGCACAAGCGGUGGAGCAUGUGGUUUAAUUCGACGCAACGCGAAGAACCUUACCAGGUCUUGACAUCUUUUGCUACUUCUGGAGACAGAAGGUUCCCCUUCGGGGGACAAAAUGACAGGUGGUGCAUGGUUGUCGUCAGCUCGUGUCGUGAGAUGUUGGGUUAAGUCCCGCAACGAGCGCAACCCUUAAUCUUAGUUGCCAGCAUUCAGUUGGGCACUCUAAGGUGACUGCCGGUGACAAACCGGAGGAAGGUGGGGACGACGUCAAAUCAUCAUGCCCCUUAUGACCUGGGCUACACACGUGCUACAAUGGAUGGUACAGAGGGAUGCGAAACCGCGAGGUGGAGCCAAUCUCGCAAAGCCAUUCUCAGUUCGGAUUGCAGGCUGCAACUCGCCUGCAUGAAGCCGGAAUCGCUAGUAAUCGUGGAUCAGCAUGCCACGGUGAAUACGUUCGCGGGCAUUGCACACACCGCCU